AAUAUUAUAAAAAUAUAAUUCCGUAUAAUCUCGGGAAUAGGGCCCGGAAGUUUCUACCGACUAGCCACAAACUGGUCGACUACGGGAUAGUAAUAGAUUAAU
rnacentral:ncRNA from 2 species